rnacentral:tRNA from 1 species
UAGCUCAGUUGGUAGAGCAUCUCCUUUACACGGAGGGGGUCGGCGGUUCGAGCCCG